CACACAUUAUCCAUAGAAGAUCUGGUCUAAACCCAGUUCACUGCAGUGGUUUUAGAUCAGGCUGAAAGUAACUUCCAAUCUGUGGGCAAGAAGUGAAGAAUACCAUAUUGCAUUAAUUUUCCACAAAUUGCUUAAUAUGGAAUUGGUCUACAAUAGUAGGAAAAAAGUCCUUCCUUUUGUGGAAAAAGCUACAGGACCACCAAGGAACUCUAUUUUACCACUCAUCAAAAAAUCUAGUGCUGCCAUGCCAACCAUAGUAGUACAGCUGCCCUAGGCAAACAAGCACAUCCAUGUUUACAACUAGCCAGCCUUCUCCCACAGACUUUUACACUGCUGUGGCAAUUCUAAGAAUCAGCAUCUCACAUCCACAGCUCCCAUAUGAGGAGGAAAAGCCACAGCUCAGUUUACAUCCGUAUGCCAUAUCUCUAUGGAUACUUCCAACAACUCCUGGGAGGAGCCAAGAAGAAAAUGAAGAUCAACUAUUUCUAAUAGAAGAAAGCAACAAUAGUGUUUAGCUUGACCUCUCAGACGAAAAGCAGCAAACCCCACACAUCCUUUGCAAUUUGAACAGUUGUGGAAUGGACUGAAGAUUAAAAAAUGGUUCAUGAAGCACACCAGUCAAUACCCUUGCCUGCUUUUGAGAACAUGAGUUCUUAAUGCUGGCCUUACUGGAGAAGCUGAGCUCCUGGAAAUAUAACAAGAAUGAAGGAAAGAAAACCAGCGUUGCAUUUAAUUAUCUUGUGAUCCCAGGUUCUAAUGAGCACCCAAGCAACAUCCAUGAAGAAGCAAACAUCCCUGAGAAUGGAGAAGGGUUUUCAUGCUGGGAGCACCUGACAAGACCUGGGGCCAGCCCCAGAACAAUGACAGAAUAUGGAAUAUCUUGCUCAUUGGCUGAAUACAAACCUAUCCAUGAAUGACACAGGGACCAAAUGGAAAGCACUAUAAGAUCAUACAGUUAAAAUUUCAUCACGGUGACCACACAGGUGACAGACUGAGAGCUGCUACUUCUGAAACUUUAGAUCCUUGACUCUCCAGCAUUGUGAGUCUUCCUUCACUGUAGUCUUGAUAUAUUUUUCUAUACAUAGAAAUUGCAUAAGUGGACACUGCUUACCACUUGAAAAAAAGUGGAAGAAAUGUAGUGUUUAAUGAAAUGGAGAAAACAAAGUCCAUACUGGCAAUGUUUCUCCAUGUGCUCCUGACUUCAAGGCAGAGAUAUCACUGGGCCUGUCACUGAAGACUACAACAGGUUCACACAGAUUCAUGUGGGCAUUGGCUUUUUCUUGGGAAAGCUCUGGUUACAUAUUUGACCCAAAUCUUUUAAUAUACAUUUGUACUGUAGACUUUGUCUAAGGCAUCUGAAGCUAUCACUAUGUUGCUUCAAUAAUCUUCAGUCAGUCCGUAGCAGAUUUCUGUGAAGGAGAUUUGGAAAACAUGUACUUUUGUGUUGUACCGGUCUCUUUCUAUUAAUAUCUUGGCCCAUUUUGGCAAUAUUUCUAAAUAUGAAUAAAAUAUUAAUCUGCAGAUUAAAUACUAAGACCUACUUUUAGCUCAGUUGUGCUACAAUAAAUCAGAUAGGCUGAAGAAUUCCUUUGUAUCUGUGCCAUGUAAUUUAGAUCAGAAUCUGUCCAGCUCUGAUACUCUUCUAUUGGAACAUAACCUCAUGUGUAUUCUAUGACAGGAUAACAGCAAUAUUCAUGAUAAGCUGUCAUAUAUAAUAUAAAAGGUGCUUUUAAAAACAUUUGCUGUUCUCAAAAAUGAAAUAAGAAUAAAGACCAGACUUUGCUUCUACAACAUAAAUAUCUGGAAAAAACAAAGCUACACACACAUACACAAAAUAAUUAAAAAAAUAGACACACACAAAAACAAAAGAGGACCAAGGGACUUCUGGAUGCAAGGUUCUUAUCCUCUCCUUGACUAUAAUACAAAGGUGUUAGAGAAACCUAUGAAACCCCCCUCUUCUUGCUCAUUCGUAUGUAACACAGUACCAUGGCUGUAAUGAUGUGAGUGCAGAAGAGAGGCAAAUAUGAAUUAACUGUUUUUGUGCAGAGUUAAAGCAGACAUAGUAGAAACUCAGUGGUUUCUCAUUUAAUUAUUAUUAUUUAACUAUUAGAUACAGCACAGAUGUAAGAAGCAGAUCUCAAUGCAAGUGGAAACAGGGGUUGAACUCCUUGCACCUGUUAAGUUAUCGAGGUCAGAGGCUGUUUUUAUAGCUCACACAUAUUCAAUGUUUAGGACAAAAGAGUUUCAGUCAGUGGUUGGGGCCUCCAAGCACAACUGCAAUGUGAAUAAUAAAUGGCGACUACAGUCAAGGAGCAUAAGGGUUAAUUCCUAGCUCCAGCUACUGGGACCAAGAUUGCAAAGUAAAAUCAGGAAGUUCCAUAGCUGUUGGUGCAAGAGGAUUAUUUUCUGCUGUAAUUGUUGUGGUAAUCUUUAUUUUUCCUGCUCCUUCAGCUUUUUAAUGGGAAAUCCUAAAAGCCAAUUCUUUGAAGCUGGAGACUUGGCAGAAAGACAGCAGAAAAUGUUGCCCCAUUCCCAUCCAAGUGGUUUCUCAGGAAACAGCCAUAGGAGUCCUUUGUGCUGAAGAAAUGAUUGAAUUUACUAUAUUAAAUCAGAAAGUAAAAAUCUUGGAAUGAAAUAAAGACAACUCCCUUCUCAUUUGAGUGCUGGGAACACUGAGCACCUGCGUGCUAAUGAUCAUUAAUUUAUAUUGCUAACUAAAGAGGAGAGAUAAAAACAUGGUCAACUUUGAUGCAAACUAUCCUUCCAUUUGUUCAGAAGAUAUCUUUUCUUGGUUCUCAGUGUGAAAAUGUAGAAGAUUUUUAGAAAGUACUCUCUCUUCUUCUUUUUCCAGGAGAGAGGUUUGCUGUAAUCACACAACAAUGUAUAACUGCUGUGAGUAAAGCUGGCAAUGGCUGAAAAAGUGCUUGAAGGUACUUGCUGAUAAGAGUGCUCAGGUUUCCAAAUUUCAGCUUUACUUUAGCAUUAAUUACCACAAUUUUAUCUUUAUUGGGACCAAAAAAUAAUGGCAAACAUAUGGGAAAUGAAAUUCAUAUUGUGUUUGGAUUUGGAUAACAACAAUCAUCAUCAUCAUCAUGAAAAAAACUACUGAAUCUAGUGAGGUUAACCAGAAACUCAAAUAAAGCAAAAACAUUUCCUAAAACAAAGGCACAGGAAUGUAGUUGACAAGUUCUGCAAAACCAACAUUUUACACUGAAGUCACCUGGUCAGCAUGGUUGAUCCCUUUUGCUCAUCUCAGAUGCAAAUCCCAGAGGCAGGCACGUAAGUAUUUUUGAAAAUGGGAUAAUUUGCCAUGUAUAUGUCUGGGCUUAUGUCUCUGUACAUGAAGUAACCUGCUGUACUUGCUAUCCUCUGCAAGAAGAAACAGACAGAGCUAACUUUCUUCCUUGCUGUGUUGCAACAUAUAAUACAAGCUGUUGCUCAUGGAGUAAGGCAGUUCCCUCUAUCUCUUGGCACACCAGCCUGGGCCAGGAUAUCUCCCAGCCUCCAGCCAGCCAACACAGGUGCUCAGCCAUGGCUGGGGGUGUUGGAGCAGCAAGGAGAAUGCUGCCCCAGUGAGCCUUCAGCAGAGAUAAGUUAUCAGCAAGCAUUGCUGUUUCUUAGCCUUUAUGAAAAGGGAGUCUGUCAGGCUGCAUGCAUUAUCCCAAGGACUAAUGAUGGUCUCUGCUUACUAUGUGUAAGGGAUAUGCAUGAUCACUUCAGGACCUGAUUAGUCUAAAUACAUUCAUGAUGCGUUCCCUAAUUUGAUGGUCUAAGCUAUUAACAAGAUAAAGAUCUGAUGAGCUCAUCAGGAAUUUGAAGGGAAAGGUUAUCUUCAGGAGCUCCUAGGACAGGACACAGAACUUAAAGAAAUUGUAAACCUUUGGCCAUUUUUCCACCAUAAAGAUAUUAGAUUUUAAUGAAACAAAAUUUUUAGAAUAGUUGCAUUACUUCCUUAUCCAGGGGAAACAAAAAGAUGCAAACUUUAUUGUCCAACUAGCAGAAAGAGCUUUUGUUUGCAUUUUUCUUCUCAUUAAGCCAAGUAAAUGUGCAUCUAUUUUGUUUUCUGUGGACAGCCCCCACAAUUCCAUAAUAAAAUUAAAAGUUUUCUAGACCACUCUCUAAACUGAAACACUGCCCCAGUCUCUGGACUUGUGGCCUCUUCCUAACAGUCAAAGCUGAUGUUAAAUAUCUUCUCCUUGCCCUAAAACAAGGCAUUAAUCAUGCCAAGUGAAGAAGCUGAAUGAUUCAUUUCCAGUUCCCAUGACUUAUCACCACAUCACAUCAAAGACAUGUAUCAUAUAUACAUGUAUGUGAUUAUGAAAUUGCAUUUGUUUAGUUUCAGCUUCAUAAGAUUUUAUAAAAGAUGAGGAAGAUGA
rnacentral:lncRNA from 1 species